rnacentral:rRNA from 1 species
UACGUAGGGUGCGAGCGCUGUUCGGAAUUACUGGGCGUAAAGAGUGUGUAGGCGGUUCUGUAAGUUUGGUGUGAAAUCUCCUGGCUUAACUGGGAGGGUGCGCCGAAAACUGCAAGGCUUGAGUACUGGAGAGGAUAGCGGAAUUCCUGGUGUAGCGGUGAAAUGCGUAGAUAUCAGGAGGAACACCAAUAGCGAAGGCAGCUCGCUGGGACGGUACUGACGCUAAGGCGCGAAAGCGUGGGGAGCGAACAGG